AAGAGAGACUUAGAUUUUGUAACCUUUAAUGAUCAUGGCUCUGCAGACAAGACUGGCAUUCAGAAAUACCAUACUGUGAAUGGCCGGGACUGUGAAGUAUGGAAAGCCCUUUCUCCCAUUCAAGUACUAACCAGGCCCGACCCUGCUUAGCUUUCCAGAUCAGAUGAGAUCGGGCACGUUCAGGGUGGCAUGGCAUUAAGAACAAAAUAG